rnacentral:misc_RNA from 1 species
UCUUUUUAUCAUCUGAUAGCACCUGACAGCAUUGUACUUCAGAAUUCAAACGACAAUAUGAGAAAUUCAAAAACUUUAACUGCAAAACAUAAUUCAAGGGCCAAUUUCGCCCAUUAUCUCUCAACUUAGGUAAUUAUUUCAUUAUUGUCACUCAACUUUAAUUUUUUUAUUAAAAAUCCGUGAACUUACAUUUGAGUAAUAAUAAAGUCAUUGUAACAAGAUAUUACAAGCUUCCAAGUUAACUUGCUGACCUGGCCGCAUUUUGCAAAAAAAGGGAGAAAAAUUACCUUACUAUCCUUCCACCUACACACACUGCCCUUCUCUUUUCUCUCUCUUCUCUACCCCUCUCGGUCUCUCCACUUUCCCUUCGGCCUGCUCUUUCACCACUGCCACCCAGCCCCACCAACAUUGACACCAACUCCUCACCCUCCAGAGACCCUCCUUUGAAUCCAGAAAUGCAUAGUGGCAUUGAUUUGGAGUAAACCAUCAGCGCAAAGAGAAGAAUACUAAUAGCAACCCGCAAAGAAGAAUCAGUCGGAUUCGGGUGUCCCAAUGUUUGAUGAACGUGGCACCACCUCCCUACCCUCCAUCAACCCUCCCCCAGCCCUCACAACACCCAGUAGUGUUUAUUUGGAGCAAAAAGGGGAGAAUGCAACCUGAGAAGAAGACCUGCCUGGACUCCUGUAUUCCCAACGUUAGAUGGACGCAAUACCACCACCAAUCGACUCCUCUUCUCUUGGGCAUCAUUCUGACCACCCUCAGCCUCUACCAUCUCCAUAAACACAAGAAUCGAAGAAAAAGCAUUUCGGCCGUCUAUCUUCAAUUAUUCCAUUUUCGGCAAUGGUAGGGGCAAGUGUUGGUUGAAAAAAAGAUGCCUAAGAGGAAAGGAGUCAAUUGGUGGUGGUCUUGUGUCUAUCCAUGUCAAGAAUGUCAAACUCCAGCCAGAGGUGAUGGGGAGAGCAAAGAGGAGAGAGAGAGAGAGAG